rnacentral:rRNA from 1 species
AAGGGAGAAGAAAGUUGAAAUGAACUUUGAAGAGAGAGUUAAAAAGUACGUGAAACCGUUUAGGGGUAAACGGAAAAGAACUGAAAAUCCGAAAAGGGAGAUUCACGUCUUCUCGUUUGUUUAUAUAGUUAUUUGUAUGAUAAUUAAUGGCCUGUACAUUUUGUAUAAGUGCUAUUAAUUGCUUACUAGGCUAUAUUAGAAAUGGUGGACCGCACUUCUCUCUUAGUAGGACGUCGCGACCUGCUAUCUUAUAAUUUAAGAAUAAAUCUAUUAAAUGUUUUAUUAUAAUAAAAAUUUAUUUUUUUAUUUAUAAUAAAUUGAUUUAUUUCUAAUUAAAUAGUUAGCAGUAUAAAACGACAGUGUUGAGCCGCUUUUAAAAAAGCGUUUAACAAAUAAUAAUUUUUUUUAUAAUAAUCAAAUAUGGAUUUUAAUCCUUAGAGGUUAUUGGGAAUUUUUAUUAAUUUGUUUAUA